rnacentral:misc_RNA from 1 species
AUUCCGUAGGUGAACCUGCGGAAGGAUCAUUCAUAAUAAGUGUUUUAUGGCACUUUUUUAAAUCCAUAUCCACCUUGUGUGCAAUGUCAGGGUUGAUUUUUCUCUCGAGAGGAUCAACCCCAAACAUCAACUAUAUCUCAACUCUUUGUCUGAAAAAUAUUAUGAAUAAAACAAUUCAAAAUACAACUUUCAACAACGGAUCUCUUGGCUCUU